UGGGGAAUAUUGCACAAUGGGCGCAAGCCUGAUGCAGCGACGCCGCGUGAGGGAUGACGGCCUUCGGGUUGUAAACCUCUUUCAGCAGGGGAGAAGGCCUUCGGGUUGACGGUACCUGCAGAAGAAGCGCCGGCUAACUACGUGCCAGCAGCCGCGGUAAUACGUAGGGCGCAAGCGUUGUCCGGAAUUAUUGGGCGUAAAGAGCUCGUAGGCGGUUUGUCGCGUCUGCUGUGAAAACGCGAGGCUCAACCUCGCGCCUGCAGUGGGUACGGGCAGACUAGAGUGCGGUAGGGGAGACUGGAAUUCCUGGUGUAGCGGUGGAAUGCGCAGAUAUCAGGAGGAACACCGGUGGCGAAGGCGGGUCUCUGGGCCGUUACUGACGCUGAGGAGCGAAAGCAUGGGGAGCGAACAGGAUUAGAUACCCUGGUAGUCCAUGCCGUAAACGUUGGGCACUAGGUGUGGGACCCAUUCCACGGGUUCCGUGCCGCAGCUAACGCAUUAAGUGCCCCG
rnacentral:rRNA from 1 species